GACGAACGCUGGCGGCGUGCUUGACACAUGCAAGUCGAACGGAAAGGCCUGCUUUCCCUUGUGGAUUGCGGGUACUCGAGUGGCGAACGGGUGAGUAACACGUGAGUGAUCUGCCCCCAACUUGGGUAUAAGCCUGGGAAACUGGGUCUAAUUCCCGAUAGGACUGCAGGGUGGUGCCUGUGGUGGAAAACGAUUUUCUAGUGGUUGGGGGUGAGCUCGCGGCCUAUCAGCUUGUUGGUGGGGUAAUGGCCUACCAAGGCGGCGACAGGUAGCCGGCCUGGGAGAGUGGACGGCCACAUUGGGACUGAGAUACGGCCCAGACUCCUACGGGAAGCAGCAGUGGGGAAGAAUGCACAGUGGGCGGAAGCCUGAGGCAGCGAGGCCGCGUGGGGAAUGACGGCCUUCGGGUGGUAAACUCCUUUCGGCCGCGAGGAAGCCACCUGGUUGGAAGGGUGGUGACGGUAGUGGUAGAAGAAGCACCGGCUAACUACGUG
rnacentral:rRNA from 1 species